AUUGAACGCUGGCGGCAUGCCUUACACAUGCAAGUCGAACGGCAGCACGGGUGCUUGCACCUGGUGGCGAGUGGCGAACGGGUGAGUAAUACAUCGGAACAUGUCCUGUAGUGGGGGAUAGCCCGGCGAAAGCCGGAUUAAUACCGCAUACGAUCUACGGAUGAAAGCGGGGGACCUUCGGGCCUCGCGCUAUAGGGUUGGCCGAUAGCUGAUUAGCUAGUUGGUGGGGUAAAGACCUACCAAGGCGACGAUCAGUAGCUGGUCUGAGAGGACGACCAGCCACACUGGGACUGAGACACGGCCCAGACUCCUACGGGAGGCAGCAGUGGGGAAUUUUGGACAAUGGGCGAAAGCCUGAUCCAGCAAUGCCGCGUGUGUGAAGAAGGCCUUCGGGUUGUAAAGCACUUUUGUCCGGAAAGAAAUCCUUGGCUCUAAUACAGUCGGGGGAUGACGGUACCGGAAGAAUAAGCACCGGCUAACUACGUG
rnacentral:rRNA from 1 species